rnacentral:rRNA from 1 species
GAUGAACGCUAGCGACAGGCUUAACACAUGCAAGUCGAGGGGCAGCAUGAGGUAGCAAUACCUUGAUGGCGACCGGCGCACGGGUGAGUAACGCGUAUGCAACCUGCCCGAUACCGGGGUAUAGCCCAUGGAAACGUGGAUUAACACCCCAUAGUACUUUUAUCCUGCCUGGGAUGGGAGUUAAAUGUUCAAGGUAUCGGAUGGGCAUGCGUCCUAUUAGUUAGUUGGCGGGGUAACAGCCCACCAAGACGAUGAUAGGUAGGGGUUCUGAGAGGAAGGUCCCCCACAUUGGAACUGAGACACGGUCCAAACUCCUACGGGAGGCAGUAGUGAGGAAUAUUGGUCAAUGGACGUAAGUCUGAACCAGCCAAGUCGCGUGAGGGAAGACUGCCCUAUGGGUUGUAAACCUCUUUUAUAAGGGAAGAAUAAGUUCUACGUGUAGAAUGAUGCCUGUACCUUAUGAAUAAGCAUCGGCUAACUCCGUGCCAGCCGCCGCCGUAAAAC